CUGUGGAACAUGCGCGCUAGUUGUUGAACUGGUGUGAAAGAAAAUGUGGUGUUUUCAUCUGCAAAAUGGAGGAUUUACAAAGAAAGUUGAAGCUUUUUUAAACUUUCGGGAUGAGAAAUGCUGUUUGACAGGUGGCUACAUGAGACACUGCCAUCAUGCAAACAUUGGAACUUCCUGUACAGAAUCCAGCAAGCAAGAAGAAAAGCUUGGAUCAAUCAAGGUGGGCAUGCCAUCCAGCUGACAUUUCCUCUAGAGGGCCUCCCAUCCAGCCAGUCAUCUUGUGCGCCAAUCAGCCUACCAAAUGGCCAGUCAUCUUGUGAACCAAUCAGCCUACC